GACUUUCUCCUCUUUUCCCAACGAAUUUAGGAUUUUCAGAAGUUUCUAGAAUCCAGAGCAACAAUGGUGGCGAAUCAAGUAAUCUCCGGCGUUAAAGAAACCGCACAACCAAUCACCAGCGCCGCUAGUCCAUCGCCGACGCCACCACACGCGUCACACAAAACCUCACACAUUUCCGAAUCAAUUUAUCAUCCUCUACUUCCUCCUAACCUUCUCUUUAAUCACACAUCACAUCGCGGUUCUAGCAUUCAUCGCCGUUGGUUUAGCUUGGUAC